GGCGCCCCACUCGGGGGGCUUGUGAGUGUGAGGCGCUGGCUGGGGUCCUUCCGAGGAGCUAGUGUGGGGCGCGUGACGGCCGGGGUCUGGCCGGGGCCCCACACGCCGCACUUGCCAUUAGAUGGGCUGAGAAGGGAACGGCGAAUCUUAACCUUUCACACCGAGGAAGCGGCUGCGGGAGACGAGGGACACCAGACGUCAAGUAACCUGACAUCCUCGGCCUUCGAAGAGAUUAGAUCAAGGAAUCUGGCCUGAUACGUUUACUGAAGAUCCGCUGGCGAACUCCUUAAAGAGAGACACAAGCAGAAUGAAAUGAAAACCAAAUCACUCCGCCUUCCAUCCUGUAAACCUCUUGGGAUUCCCAGAAGUUAGAUUAUUUGGUCUAUGACGCCAGAUGGCUUUGGAAUUUUGGAGAAGUAGUGUCCACUGGUCGUCUCGAGGAGCUGUAUUUCCAUACCUUCUCUGGCGAUGAUGUUUAUUUUUAUAAACUUUGUUAAUUUGAUAGGUCAAAUGAUCCUGAUUUCGAGAGACCCCAGACAAUCAGAUCAUAAAAAGCUGUGGAUUUAGAAGGAGCGUAUAGAGGGGCUGAAGAUAGCAUGCAGGAAAGUGAAGAAGUGAAUGGUCCUUGUACUAGUUAAGGUAUGAGGAGAAAUUAGCCCUCUUUUGCUUGGGUGACUGGAGAACUGUCUUCAAAUACUCUUCUGUCUCCGAAGUGGAUGGAGGAUUGACAGAUUCUGGCCCCAGAGACUAGAGGUUGGAGCAGUGGAUGGAAACAAAGCUGACCCAUUCACCAAGAGGUACAGAGGAGGUGACUCAUUGCCAGGAGGCACCAAGCAACUGCCUGGAAUUGAAACACCCUUGGCAGGAGUCACACCCCUUCCAGAGCUGCUGUAAAGGUGUCCCCUGGUCGUCUGAGGAGGAUGGAUGUGUGAACUGAGAUGGGCAUUUGCCAUCUGCCUCCACGUGGAUUAAAUCACGAGCCACCGAGGUGCAGCCCUAAAAACCGAACCUGAGUGGAGCUCAGGGUGGAGACCAGGAGGGAGGCCCUCUGUGCUCUGGGAAAACUGGAAGAGCAGGUCUUCAGAUAGUUAGAUACUUUUAGGAGAAGAUUUUAGAUGCAUACAUCUCGCAUCUCCUUGUAUCCAGAAAAACACGAAUAUCCUUCAUGGUGAUGUCUGCCCCUCGUGACUAGCGGUAACCUUCGCCCGCAGCAAAAUUUUGUGAAAUGUGUGUCUGGCUGCAGACCCCUCCCCCUCCCCUUUGACACAUGCCCUGAUAGUAUUUCCCCUUUCCUCUUUGGGGCAGUACAUCACCGCUGUCUGAAACGCUGCCUCCUUGGCUGCAGUUAAGUCCACGAAACAAAAAGAUGUCACAGUCAUCUGUGAGUGCAGCCACUCCCAAGGGUGAGCCAGUGAGUCCUGAGGGAGCUCGGGAAAGAAACAAAGAAAACUGGCCCCGGACGGCUGAGGUGCAGAGCAAAGGAGUGAUUCCAGUGAGCCCAGACAUUUGCAUCUGCCCAUAGAAAAGCCCUGACUUCCUUAACUCCAGAUAUCUGGUUUUCCGUCAUCUUUUGUUCUCACUCCCUUCCCUUUGUUGAAAAAAGCUCCUGUGCAUCCUAGCUCCUCCCUCAUCUCCUCAGAGCAGUUUCUCGGGGCUACCUGAGAUGCUGUGUCCUAGGCUUAAGUCCUCAUUUGGCCCCCAAUAAAACUUAACUGUCA
rnacentral:lncRNA from 1 species